rfam:Schistosoma rodhaini strain Burundi genome assembly, scaffold: SROB_scaffold0007593
AUCCAGCUGACGAGUCCCAAAUAGGACGAGACACGCGUCAAACUGGAU